AGAGUUUGAUCCUGGCUCAGGAUGAACGCUGGCGGCGUGCUUAACACAUGCAAGUCGAACGGGGAAUGCUUUGACAGAGACUUCGGUUGAAGUCGUUGUAUUCCUAGUGGCGGACGGGUGAGUAACGCGUGGGUAACCUGCCUCAUACAGGGGGAUAACAGUUAGAAAUGACUGCUAAUACCGCACAAGACCACAGCACCGCAUGGUGCAGGGGUAAAAAUUCCGGUGGUGUGGGAUGGGCCCGCGUUGGAUUAGCCAGUUGGCAGGGUAACGGCCUACCAAAGCGACGAUCCAUAGCCGGCCUGAGAGGGUGAACGGCCACAUUGGGACUGAGACACGGCCCAGACUCCUACGGGAGGCAGCAGUGGGGAAUAUUGCACAAUGGGGGAAACCCUGAUGCAGCGACGCCGCGUGAAGGAAGAAGUAUCUCGGUAUGUAAACUUCUAUCAGCAGGGAAGAAGAUGACGGUACCUGACUAAGAAGCCCCGG
rnacentral:rRNA from 1 species